CAGUCGAGCGGUAACAUUUCAAAAGCUUGCUUUUGAAGAUGACGAGCGGCGGACGGGUGAGUAAUGCCUGGGAAUUUGCCCAUUUGUGGGGGAUAACAGUUGGAAACGACUGCUAAUACCGCAUACGCCCUACGGGGGAAAGCAGGGGACCUUCGGGCCUUGCGCUGAUGGAUAAGCCCAGGUGGGAUUAGCUAGUAGGUGAGGUAAAGGCUCACCUAGGCGACGAUCCCUAGCUGGUCUGAGAGGAUGAUCAGCCACACUGGGACUGAGACACGGCCCAGACUCCUACGGGAGGCAGCAGUGGGGAAUAUUGCACAAUGGGGGAAACCCUGAUGCAGCCAUGCCGCGUGUGUGAAGAAGGCCUUCGGGUUGUAAAGCACUUUCAGCGAGGAGGAAAGGGUGUAAGUUAAUACCUUACAUCUGUGACGUUACUCGCAGAAGAAGCACCGGCUAACUCCGUGCCAGCAG
rnacentral:rRNA from 1 species